UGCAUGCAUGUGUGCCAUGUGUGUGCAGGUGCCAGCAGAGGUCAGAAGAGGUCACUGGAGCCUGGAACUGGAGGUGCAGGUGGCUGUGCAUCAUGGGGCUGCUGAAACUGAGCCUGACCCCUGGAAGAUCAGUGGGCAUCUUUAACUUCCGAACCAUCUCUUCGAGCUCCAAGAACAAGUGCUUUUUGAUUUGACAACAUAAACCAUUGCCCAAAGAUGGUUUUUAAAUACUAGCUGCCUUUCACUGACCUUCUGGGUAUAACGUCACACUUCAGUUUCUAUUUGCAGUUAUUUCCAGUCGGAGUUCUUUUGAUGUUUAAGUACAAAAAGUGAGCGCUGACUUUUUUUUUUUUUUUUUUUUUUUUUUUUUUUUUUUUUUUUUUUACACAGGUGCAGGUCUAAGCGCCGAAAUGAGCAGAGGAAAGAGUGUCUGCUCUGCCCACAGUCCCCAUAUGGCUAAAGUUACAGCCAGCUACACAGGGAUUCUUGGUGGCCGUUUUGUACUGUAGCUGUAAUGGAUUUUCAUCAGUCCUACACUAUUUACUUGUCCUGGCAUUUCCAUUCUUUAAAAAACAGUCCUUAACGAUCAGGGGUGUUUACUUCCUUCCCACAAUGGGCAUGUAAGAAUUUCCUUAGGAGCAAUUUACUAAAAGAACAGAGUGGAAUGACCUCCAGAGGGCUGUACUCCAGCAUCGGAGUGAGAACAGGAAGUAAAUGAGGGCACAGAUGUACCUGGGGUCUCUCUGUGACAAACGGAGAAAAUUCCCACCACGUUCAAAUAGAUCCAUGUGCCAUGGUUAAAAAAAGAAGAAGAAGAAGAAUAAAAAGUUCAAACAAUCAGCAGUUCAAACACAAAUGAAUUUCAAAGUUCUAUCAGAACAAAUAUCGCGGUAACAAUCUAGAUCUUUCCAGGAAAGGGAGAUAGAGCCCCGAGCGUUCUUCCUGACAGUCCUGUGUUACGCUCUAGAAGAAUCUGCCAUUGCUGCACUUGCUGUUGUUGCUCCAUUAGCAACUUUCUCUCCCAAGGACAACAGGAAGAACCAGGAUCAUGGAGGAAGUGGUCCCAAUCCACAAAGUUGCCCUGGAAAAUCUGUGCAUCUUCUGAGCCUCAAAGAGCAGAGAUCAAAGGUGGUCACCUGUGGCUCCAGCGACUUACCAGCCCCUCUCAGGAAACAUCUCCGUCAGACUCCAGGGUCUCUCCGACCGGGUCUCUUCUAGCUGCAGUGACAGCGGCGGCUGUGGCUAUAGGCCUGUUUUUAAGUUUUUAAAGUUAGGGUCUUAGCCAUGAUGAAGUAUCUGUCAAGAACAACUUAAGGGAGAGAGGGCUUGUUCUGACUCAUGGUUCAAAAGAAGUCCAUCGUGGCUGUGCGUGCGGGCGUGCGUGUAGAACAUAUCCAGUGUCCACCGUGGCUGGAAGAGGCUUUUAGAUCCCCUGGAGCUGUAGUAAGAGACAACCAGGGAGCCUUCUGACAGGGAGCCAGAUCAGCAAGCAGUUUGACUGCUACUCAGCUCCUGUUCUCUCUUCCUAAAGUCCAGGAAGUCCCUCCCACAAUGAAGAUGGGUCUUCCCACAUCAGCUAACGGAAGUAUCCGGAGCAGUAUUCUCCAGCAGUGUGGUAUUCUCACAGAGAUACAAUACAGAUGUGGAGGUCAGAGGAUAAUUCAAAGGAUAACUCAUCUCUCAUCUGGGGACUUCAGAGAUCCACUCAGGUCUUCAGGCUUGGUGGCAGGCGCCUUCCCAGGCUGAGACGAGGCUCUAGCUUCACAAUUUUCUUUCUAUCCCCUUAUUUUCACCACCAGAAUUUCAUCUACGUAUAAAACGUCUCUCCUGAGUCCUAGUAGCUUGAAGAAGCAAAAUACAGGGAAGUAAGAAGGUUCGAGAAGUAUCCAAGAGGUGAAAUCACAAAAACUGAGCAGACAGUAAAGGUCGGAAGGCAGGGACUAGAACCUGUGCAGAUGGGGGCUGCAGGUCGGGGAACGAAAAUAAUCCCCAACUCCCAUCUCCAGCAGCCCCUCCCCCUUCAUACUAGGGCCAGGCUUCCGGCUUUGGACAGUAUUUUAGUACGCCUACUGCAGACACACAAUGUUAAUGUAGAAGGAGAAAUAUUUCUGCUCUGACAAUAGUGGCUUGCUCAGGGAGGGUUGAGUUUUCCUAUGUAACAGAAAGAUCAAGCCAGCAGUGCAGGUUAGACCAUUAUCUAUAGGUCUUCUGGACUCAUGGCAACAAGAUGGCUACUACUGAUCCAGCCACCACAUGCACAGUGCGGCCUGAAAGACAGAAGGAUGUUGCACGUUACAACACCGGCUUUGUCAGGUAACACUUUCCACGUUUUCUUCUUGAGCGCCAACUACACUUUUAAGUACUCGUACCUCCAGGAGAGAUGGGGUACGACUACUUGGCUUCUUUGCAUCUGUGGUAGAACAUGGCAGCAAGAAAGACAAGAGUAUCUGAUUGCGAAACAGUGGUGCUUGCCACACCGCUGGUGACUGAGUUCUGCCAGCAUCUGUUGGGUCCUUCCCACCAGAUAGACUCUGAUCUCCGUCUGUUUGAACAGUGCUCACGAAAGCCUCACUUGGUUUCUUUCCCUUGGUUAUUUAAACCCAUUGCCUAAUCAAUCAAUUUCUGGAUGUUCUUGUGUGGGAAGCUUUGAGACAUGUCUCUGUACCUUGGUGGGAGAAGGAAUUAAAUUACUUAUGUCUUCAGGAGCAAAGUGCGUCCAUAAAACCAGUACACGGCCAUUUUACAAUUUCCAACUGUGUUUGCCGCAGGGAAAAGUGUAGACAGUAGUGACUUGCUAGAGAGAAAAACAUACAAACUCCUCGAAAUGGGAGGGGUUUGAUAUUUUUGAAGAUUUUAAAGGCUAGCUAGUUGCUGGAGGGAAUUGGGAAGUCAAUGAGAGAUGGGAGGGAGGUUGAAUCGGUUGAGAAGCUAGGUCUUGUACGAUAGUGAUAAAGAGCCUGGGUUUUUAAUUCUAAUUUUACUUUUGCUUUAUUAUUAUUAUUAUUAUUAUUAUUAUUAUUAUUAUUAUUAUUAUUGGUUUUAUAGCCCAGGCUGGUCUUGAGUUUGUAGCACUUCUGUUUCGAGCUUCCUGAGUGCUGGGAAUACAGCCGUGUACUUCCACGGCUGGCUUUACGUCAGUUUCAAUGGGACACUGCUGGACAGUGGUGACCAGAUAUACUUUGGAAGACUAAUUCUCUCUGGCUCCUGUGGGAUGGAUUGGGAGGAAUGAGGAGUCAAGGUGAGAUCAAGGUAAGAGCUAUUUAUCACCAAUGUUGAGAAGAGGAAAUAAAGCUACUUCGGAUGGGGCCAAAACCUCAGAGGAAAGAAUAUUGUGAGUUUGAGAUAUGUUUUGGAGGCAGAAUUGGCAAACACCGGUGCUGAGUUAGAUCUGCGAGGCAGGAAGUGGGGGCCGUAAGUGUUUAUUUCCAGGUUUCUGGUUUGUGUAACUUGUCGAAUAGAGGUGUCAUCUGCUGAACUUUCCAAGAUGGCAACAGGCUUGAAGGGAGAGAGCAGACCAAAACGUUUCUUUGUUAAAGAAACUUUAUAAAAGGAAUCUUUAAAAAAAACUCAUCAGAUAACUGGAAAGAUGGCCCCGCAAUUAAGAACAUUGGCUACUCUUUCAGAGAACCUGGGUUCCAUUCCCAGCACCCACCUGACCGUCCACGCUCUGUAACUCCAGAUCCAGGGGAAUCUUCUGACCUCUUCUGGCAGCUAUGGGUACUGCAGGCACAUAGUGCUCGGAGGCACAUGCCAGGAAAACACCCAUACCCAUACAAUAAAAGUAAGUCAAUCUUAAAAAUUGAUCGGAGCUCUAGGUAGCAAUUCUGGCCUUGAAGUCACCAUAUAGUCUAAGAUGUCCUCAAAUGCGAUCUGUCUACCCCAUCCACCGUGGUGCUGGGGUUACAGGUGUGUAGCUCCCCAUAUGGCUUUUCAACUUUGUUUUCUUUUCUCCUGAGAACUCACUCUGUAGACUACUCGGGUGCUUUUCUACUUUUUAUGCCCUUGUCCUUAUACUGUUUUAUCUUGGGCAAGUUCACCUUGCUAAAAUCCCACUGUGAAGAUUAAACGAGUUAACACAGUGUCAUACAGUUUCUGGAACAUGAUCUUUGCGAUGUUAUAUUUCGCCAUUAUUAUCUAAGUUUAAAUCUAUUUGCUUCUAUCUCCUCCAUAGCCCUGUGUGUCCCUCCAAGGUAGAAACUUCAUCUUCUCCACUUUUAAAUUUUCCAAAACCAGGUAUAAUUGAUUAUUCUCCCAACGUACCACACCUCAGUCCGGAUCUGAGGAGUGACUCUUACCGUUUCCCUAACUGCCCUGGUGAAUAUCUAGCUUUCGAGUGAGUAAGUGGUGCUCGUGGCUCAAACCACUUGCAGCAUGCUUAAAAUCUCCGUGGUUUUUCGAGAGUUCAGCGGUUCAAAAUUAGAUUAGGGACCUUCGAAACACCUGGAAAUGUUUACUUUCUAUUUUGAACAUAUCGAUUGUAGUAAAUGUACAGUUAAAUACAUGGGAAGCAGUA